UACGGAGGGGCUAGCGUUGUUCGGAAUUACUGGGCGUAAAGCGCGCGUAGGCGGACCUGCAAGUCGGGGGUGAAAGCCCGAGGCUCAACCUCGGAACUGCCUUCGAUACUGCGGGUCUCGAGUCCGGAGAGGUGAGUGGAAUUCCUAGUGUAGAGGUGAAAUUCGUAGAUAUUAGGAAGAACACCAGUGCGAAGGCGGCUCACUGGCCCGGUACUGGACGCUGAGGCGCGAAAGCGUGGGGAGCAAA
rnacentral:rRNA from 1 species